CACCUUCUUGACUUUGUCUGAAGGAGAAGAAACCUCGGAAUUUGCUGCCACCUCCCCACCACAAAUGGAUUUUAUUCUCACUUCAAGCCCUUUUAUUCCCACUUAUUCCAGCCCUCGGUGCUCUCGCUGCUUUCCAUCCAUAGGUGGCAGCAGGCUUUAAAAGCUCUCACCUCUUAGCUCUGAUGGGUUUUCAGGAGCUCGGGGGGUGUGCAAUCAUCUCCAGAACUUGGGUGCUGGAGCUGGGGGACCUCUUGUUCUGCCCCAUGGCUGCUAUCUGGGUCGGGCUCUGGUGGUGUCACCAAGUGAUGGUAGGGACCUGGGGAUGGCUGCAGGGGAAGAGCACAGCCAAGGGUGACAAAACCUCAGCUUGGGCACUUGGUCAACUUUAUGGUUAUAGAAAGUGCCCAGGAAAUGCCAAAAAAAGAAGAAAAGAGCUGAUGGCCAACGAUCAACAACUCCUUAUGACCAACUGCCCUCCAGAUGAAGUGGCCACGUCCUGAAUGGUUCUACACCGGAGGAA